GUUGUUGUGGUGUAGUGGUUAUCACGUCAGUCUUACACACUGAAGGUCCCUAUUUUGAUCCUGGGCAACAACA
rnacentral:tRNA from 1 species